UACGGGGGGGGGCAAGCGUUGUUCGGAAUUACUGGGUUUAAAGGGUGUGUAGGCGGACUUUUAAGUCAGCGGUGAAAUCUCCGGGCUCAACCCGGAAACUGCCAUUGAUACUAUUGGUCUUGAAUGUUGUUGAGGUGGGCGGAACGGGUCAUGUAGCGGUGAAAUGCAUAGAUAUGACCCGGAACACCGAUUGCGAAGGCAGCCCACUAAGCAAUGAUUGACGCUGAGGCACGAAAGCGUGGGGAUCAAACAGG
rnacentral:rRNA from 1 species